rnacentral:rRNA from 1 species
CGGGUGAGUAACGCGUGGGCAAUCUGCCUUGUAGAAAGGGAUAACAGGCCGAAAGGCUUGCUAAUACCGGAUGAGCUUGUCUAAUCGCAUGAUAAGACAAGGAAAGGGGAAACCCGCUACAAGAUGAGCCUGCGUCCCAUUAGCUAGUUGGUGAGAUAACAGCCCACCAAGGCGACGAUGGGUAGCCGGCCUGAGAGGGUGACCGGCCACAUUGGAACUGAGAAACGGUCCAG